rnacentral:rRNA from 1 species
AGCAGCCGCGGUAAUCCCAGCUCCAAUAGCGUAUAUUAAAGUUGUUGCAGUUAAAAAGCUCGUAGUUGAAUUUCGGGAUUAGCAGGUCGGUCGUGCCAAUGGUAUGCACUGGCCUUGCUGAUUCCUCCCUCUUGAUGAGCCGUAAUGCCAUUAAUUUGGUGUGGCGGGAAAUCAGGACUGUUACUUUGAAAAAAUUAGAGUUGUUUAAAGCAGGCUCACGCUUGAAUACAUUAGCAUGGAAUAAUGAAAUAGGACGUUGAUCUUAUUUUGUUGGUUUCUAGGAUUGACGUAAUGAUUAAUAGGGAUAGUUGGGGGCAUUAGUAUUCAAUUGUCAGAGGUGAAAUUCUUGGAUUUAUUGAAGACUAACUACUGCGAAAGCAUUUGCCAAGGAUGUUUUCAUUAAUCAAGAACGAAAGUUAGGGGAUCGAAGACGAUCAGAUACCGUCGUAGUCUUAACCAUAAACUAUGCCGACUAGGGAUCGGAUGAUGUUUAAUUUUUUAAUGUACUCU